CCUCCUCAAGCUUCCCUUAACUUUCUGGUCUGGCUCGUCCCUUGUGUUGAGCCAAAUGCGCAACAUACAGAGCUAGACCUUGUGAGGGCCUAGACACGACCUGGUUGAUGACACAGGAAACCACUUCUCACUGAGGAUGAAACGUGAGUUCGUGGGCCUGGCGACGCUGACGAAUGUAAUGCAGCAGCCACAUGCUUACACCCACGUGGGAGCCACAAACGCAGAUUUGCCACAGGAGCUUCCUACUUGUGACUCAGGAGGUUGAUAGAUGCCUUACAGGCCCGCCGUGGACCUGCCCUGGACAACCUGGCCUCUGAGUACCAAGCAGACCAUGCAGCGCAGACGGCUAAGACAGAAAAGAACAGAACAGUCGCUUAUGCACACUGCGAAACCUGGGUUUAUAAGGGGAACGUUUGGCUUCCUU